AUUGAACGCUGGCGGCAGGCUUAACACACGAAUGUAGCGAGUGGCGGGGGGGGGAGUAAUGCUUGGGAAUCUAGCGUAUGGGGGGGGAUAACUACGGGAAACACUAGCGAAUACCGCGUACCAUAGGGGGAGAGCAAGUGGGGUUAGGUGGUUGGUGAGGUAAAGGCUCACCAAGCCGACGAUCUCUAGCUGGUCUGAGAGGAUGACCAGCCACACUGGGACGGAGACACGGCCCAGACUCCUACGGGAGGCAGCAGUGGGGAAUAUUGCGCAAUGGGGGCAACCUGACGCAGCCAUGCCGCGUGAAUGAAGAAGGCCUUCGGGUUGUAAAGUUCUUUCGGUAGCGAGGCGUUAACUACAGAAGAAGCACCGGCUAACUCCGUGCCAGCAGCCGCGGUAAUAC
rnacentral:rRNA from 1 species